rnacentral:rRNA from 1 species
GAUGAACGCUGGCGGCGUGCCUAAUACAUGCAAGUCGAGCGAAUGGAUUAAGAGCUUGCUCUUAUGAAGUUAGCGGCGGACGGGUGAGUAACACGUGGGUAACCUGCCCAUAAGACUGGGGUAACUCCGGGAAACCGGGGCUAAUACCGGAUAACAUUUUGAACCGCAUGGUUCGAAAUUGAAAGGCGGCUUCGGCUGUCACUUAUGGAUGGACCCGCGUCGCAUUAGCUAGUUGGUGAGGUAACGGCUCACCAAUGCAACGAUGCGUAGCCGCCCUGCGAGGGUGAUCGGCCACACUGGAACUGAGACACGGCCCAGACUCCUACGGGAGGCAGCAGUAGGGAAUCUUCCGCAAUGGACGAAAGUCUGACGGAGCAACGCCGCGUGAGUGAUGAAGGCUUUCGGGUCGUAAAACUCUGUUGUUAGGGAAGAACAAGUGCUAGUUGAAUAAGCUGGCACUUUGACGGUACCUAACCAGAAAGCCACGGCUAACUACGUGCCAGCAGCCGCGGUAA